GGGUAAUUACGGCACUACACUUUUAUUUUAGGUAACCCCUGCCCGGUGAGUAUUUUUUAACGGCCGCAGUACCCUGACUGUGCUAAGGUAGCAUAAUCAGUUGGCUUUUAAUUGGAGUCUGGAAUGAAAGGGGCCACGGGGGCAAGCUGUGUCAAGAUUGUUGUAUUGAACUUGGUUAUAGGGUGAAAAUACCCUAAAAGAAGAAGAAAGACGAGAAGACCCUAAGAAUCUUAAUAAUAUAACUAGUUAGCUCGUAGUAAAGGAGUUUAGUAAUAAGUUUUUGUUGGGGCGACAAUGAGGCAACUUAGAUAAACCCUCAUUUAUUUUUGUACUAAAGUGUAUUUUAUUUACAAGACGAGAUUCGUAAGAAAGGUUAGAUUACCUUAGGGAUAACAGCAUUAUUCUAUUAUUGAGUUUGUGACCUCGAUGUUGGACUAGGGACUCUAAGGCUAGCCGCCUAUGAUACAGUGCUUCAUCUCAACCCCCCCCC
rnacentral:rRNA from 1 species